ensembl:lncRNA
GUGUAGUAGACCUUACAGUGAAAUGCUGAAUACAACAGGUGUAGAACUUACAAGCACUUAACCAACAAUGCAGAAAAUACCACAAAAGUAAGAGAUAAGAAUAACACAUUAAAGAUCAGCAGUAAAUAACAAUAGUGGGGCAAUAUACAGGGUAUUACGGUACAGAGACAAUGUGGAGGCUAUAUACAGGGUAUUACGGUACAGAGUCAAUGUGGAGGCUAUACACAGGGUAUUACGGUACAGAGUCAAUGUGGAGGCUAUACACAGGGGGGUACCGGUACAGAGUCAAUGUGGAGGCUAUAUACAGGGGGGUACCGGUACAGAGUCAAUGUGGAGGCUAUAUACAGGGUGUUACGGUACAGAGUCAAUGUGGAGGCUAUAUACAGGGGGGUACCGGUACAGAGUCAAUGUGGAGGCUAUAUACAGGGUGUUACGGUACAGAGUCAAUGUGGAGGCUAUAUACAGGGUAUUACGGUACAGAGUCAAUGUGGAGGCUAUAUACAGGGGUUACCGGUACAGAGUCAAUGUGGAGGCUAUAUACAGGGGUACUGGUACAGAGUCAAUGUGGAGGCUAUAUACAGGGUGUUACGGUACAGAGUCAAUGUGGAGGCUAUAUACAGGGGUUACCGGUACAGAGUCAAUGUGCGGUUAGUAGAUAGGUAAUUAUGUAAUUGAGGUUUUCAACCUCACACUUUGGGCUGGAUGUUUCAGUAUGUAGUUAAUUCAUGCAUAAUCACUGUCUUACCUCAAAAAUCCACAAAAAGUUGGAAAGCGACAAUUUGUUGAAACUGUGCCGCGCCAUUUCCCCUCCAUUUCCCUGGCAAUUAGAGUUCUAUCUCAUGAGCUUCAGCCACUCGUAUUUGAGUGACAGCUUGCAAGAAGCCAGCCCAGGGUUAUCCAAUGAGGUUGCAGGGCGCGCCACAGCAGAGAGAGAGAUGACGUGGUGAACAUAUGUGAUGUAGUACAACAUUUUCAGGGACCACUUUUGACUUGUGAGUGUUACUAUCAGCACUACUGGCUAAAAAGUACACAAAAAGUAGCAGAGAAUCUCUUUAAUGAGUCUGUUGACUGUAGUUUAUACAUGAUCGGACUGUUCCAGCUGGAACAACUAGUUUGUUGUGUGUCUUUUGUAUUAAAAUGUUCCAUCAGUUUAUGUUCCACAUUAUCCUGUUAUUAUACAACAUUAUCUUCACCAGAUCUCAAACCAGCCUUCUACAUUGUCACAUUAUAGUGUCAUUAUACAACAUUAUCUUCACCAGAUCUCAAACCAGCCUUCUACAUUGACCAUAUUAUCCUGUUAUUAUACAACAUUAUCUUCACCAGAUCUCAAACCAGCCUUCUACAUUGUCACAUUAUAGUGUCAUUAUACAACAUUAUCUUCACCAGAUCUCAAACCAGCCUUCUACAUUGACCAUAUUAUCCUGUUAUUAUACAGCAUUAUCUUCACCAGAUCUCAAACCAGCCUUCUACAUUGACCACAUUAUCCUGUUAUUAUACAACAUUAUCUUCACCAGAUCUCAAACCGGCCUUCUACAUUGUCACAUUAUAGUGUCAUUAUACAACAUUAUCAUCACCAGAUCUCAAACCAGCCUUCUACAUUGUCACAUUAUCCUGUUAUUAUACAGCAUUAUCUUCACCAGAUC